rnacentral:rRNA from 1 species
GACGAACGCUGGCGGCGUGCCUAAUACAUGCAAGUAGAACGCACAGUUUAUACCGUAGCUUGCUACACCAUAGACUGUGAGUUGCGAACGGGUGAGUAACCCGUAGGUAACCUGCCUGGUAGCGGGGGAUAACUAUUGGAAACGAUAGCUAAUACCGCAUAAUAUUAAUUAUUGCAUGAUAAUUAAUUGAAAGGUGCAAUUGCACCACUACCAGAUGGACCUGCGUUGUAUUAGCUAGUAGGUGAGGUAACGGCUCAUCUAGGCGACGAUACAUAGCCGACCUGAGAGGGUGAUCGGCCACACUGGGACUGAGACACGGCCCAGACUCCUACGGGAGGCAGCAGUAGGGAAUCUUCGGCAAUGGACGAAAGUCUGACCGAGCAACGCCGCGUGAGUGAAGAAGGUUUUCGGAUCGUAAAGCUCUGUUGUAAGAGAAGAACGGGUGUGAGAGUGGAAAGUUCACACUGUGACGGUAUCUUACCAGAAAGGGGCGGCUAACUACGUG